rnacentral:rRNA from 1 species
AUUGAACGCUGGCGGCAGGCCUAACACAUGCAAGUCGAGCGGAUGAAGGGAGCUUGCUCCUGGAUUCAGCGGCGGACGGGUGAGUAAUGCCUAGGAAUCUGCCUGGUAGUGGGGGAUAACGUCCGUAAACGGGCGCUAAUACCGCAUACUUCCUGAGGGAGAAAGUGGGGGAUCUUCGGACCUCACGCUAUCAGAUGAGCCUAGGUCGGAUUAGCUAGUAGGUGGGGUAAAGGCCUACCAAGGCGACGAUCCGUAACUGGUCUGAGAGGAUGAUCAGUCACACGGGAACUGAGACACGGUACAGACUCCUACGGGAGGCAGGAGUGGGGAAUAUUGGAAAAUGGGCGAAAGCCUGAUAGAGACAUGCCGCGUGUGUGAAGAAGGUCUUCGGAUUGUAAAGCACUUUAAGUUGGGAGGAAGGGCAGUAAGUUAAUACCUCGCUGUUUUGACGUUACCAACAGAAUAAGCACCGGCUAACUUCGU